GUGUCAUCUCGGCAGCGGUGCCGGCCGGUGUUUGCGACGCCCUCUAGCGGCGGAACCUGUGCGAGAAGCUGAUUCCGAACCCGUGGGACCUGCAAAAAGGCAAAUUGGAGUCAGAUGAGAAGUAUGCCUCAGCAAGGUUAGCUAUACAUGAAUGAUCUACUAAACACGGUACAUCUGCCAUCAGUGUUGUGUCUACUAAUGCUAGCAAGGACUUACUUGCCGCUGGAGCCCCAGUUCCUGUGGGCGUUGACACCGACGGCGGUCCUGCCGUUGUUGAAGCGACGGUUGUAGCCCGCACUGGCAUGGUAGUUCCUGCCGUAGGCUCUGUGUGUGUGAGACAGGUGUUAGGACGCACUGGCAUGGUAGUUCCUGCCGUAGGGUUGGUGUGGGGGAGGCAGGUACUAAAACAUAAGAACUUAAGAACAUAAGAAUGUAAGGAGUCUGCAAGAGGCCGGUUGGCCUAUAAUACAAGGCAGCUCCUGUAAUCCUAACCCCACCUUACCUCACUAUCCAUGAAUUUGUCCAACCUCUUCUUGAAUGUAUCUAUGGUAUGGCACCCACAACAUGACAUGUACUACCACAGUUUGAGCUGCAUUUGGUUAAGGCAAUCUUGGCAAGGUACAGACAAGACACAGUUUCCUCACCCUCGAUUCAUUCCAAAGUCGAACGUGGCCUGUCUCUUCCUGCGGUCAUGCUCCUCCUCCUCCUCC